GCCCGGCGCUGCGCGGGGCCGCCCCGCCCGCGGCAUGGCCGGCGCGCUGGGCAGAGGGGCGGCGUGCUGGCGGAUGCGGAGCGGCAGGAAGGAGAAGGCGCCGGGCGGCAAGCCCCGGCCGCAGCACGAAAAUAUGAAGAAGCCCUGGAGCCCUGACUUACCAGCUUCUAAUCACUCGUACAAUUUGGCUUUCGCAUCCAUCCCAGACAGAGAUAGUGAGAAAGAAUUAACAACUGGUAGCAGUGAAGAAAAGAAGGAGAGAGAAAAGAAGCAGACCAAUUUCACUUUGUGCAAUGUUUGUAACAUUCAGCUGAACUCUGCUGCUCAGGCACAAAUCCACUACAACGGCAAAUCCCAUCAGAAGAGGUUAAAACAGCUCAGCAAUGGAAAUCUCAAAAGUGAUAAUGGAGAGAAAAUAAAGAAGGAAAGAAAUAAAGAAGGAAAUUCUUUGUUUGAAGCCUUAUUGGCUGUUUUCACUGUAGGACGCUCUCAGCAGGAGGCUGCCCACAGCUGAGCCCAGGAGCCCUGGCAUGCAGAGGAUAUUCCCAAUUGUGUCGUGGGAGCUGAUUUUAGAAAGCAGUCUCUCCUUUCUAAAUGACCGUUUUCCACAUCAAUUAGUCACGUGAAUAUUAUUAUUUAGAAUUUUUUUUAAAUUUCUUGCGGUGAAGUUGAGGAAAGAAUCUGUCUUGGGACCCACAUGCUUCAGUGGGAUGUUCAGAACAAAAUUCUGUACUUUUCACUGAUGCUUUGUUUGACUUGAAGAACAUUUUCACUGCUGAUGUCACUAGAGCGAUGGCAAGACAAAAACAAGGAGUAGCAGAAAUACCUACAUAUCUCUUUUUCUUCUUGUAAUGUUGUUGUUUCAUCUAUUCCUUCAGAACGUUUAGCCCGUAUAAAGUAACCGUAUAUUCAGAAUUGUUUUCCCACUGUGAUGCUCUGUCUUGUUAGAUGUUUUCUGCUUACAUGUGCUUAUUUUAUAAGCAAAGAAAGACAAAAUGGAAUCUAUCAUAAAUUACAACAGUUAUGAGUGAGACUAAAUUAAAUCAUUGUUGCAGUACUCACGAAAUCUUUCUCUAGGAAAGUAUGAACUAGGAACAGAAACGUUCAAUUUAAUAUGCCUCCUUUUUUAAAAUUGUUUUUAACCUUUUCUCCUUGCCCUCUACACAUAUUUUCCUCAUAAAAAAUGUAGAAAUAGAUACCAUACAUUAAAAAAAAACAAGUUAUUGAUAUGUACAUUGUUUGUAUUAUGUCAAGGGAGCACAUUUUUACUUGCUUUCUUCCCCUUAGGAUUGGGAUCCCCUGAAGUCUUGAUAUAGCUACUAACCUUCAAAGACAAAAGGUCAGAUAUUGACUAGUACACAUCAAUUACUUCCCUUGGAAUCAGAGGAAUUAAGAUAAUUUGCAAUCAUGCAGAAUAUGUCAUAAAAGAUAUGUUGCAUGCAUAUCUGUAAUGAAAGACCAUUACUAAUGUUGUAAAAACACUCAAAGACUAGGAGAUAACUUUAUUAAAUCAUUCUGAAGUUGCUGAAGCAGCAUUGAAUCCCUGCUUUAA
ensembl:lncRNA